UCGAGUUGAUCCUGCUCGAGGUCACUGCUAUUGGGGUCUGAUUAAGACAUGCACGUCUCGGAUACGAUUAAGGUCCGGGCAACCAGCUCAGUAACACGUGGACAAUCUGACCUAAGGAGAGGGAUAACCUCGGGAAACUGAGGACAAAACCUCAUAGGUGGCAAGUACUGGAAUGUCUGCCACUUAAACGAGAAAACCUGUAUUCGGUUUAUUGCCUUAGGAUGAGUCUGCGGUAGAUUAGAUUGAUGGUGGGGUAAUGGCCUACCAUGUCUACGAUCUGUACCGGCCAUGAGAGUGGGAGCCGGGAGAUGGACACUGAGACAAAGGUCCAGGUUCUACGGAGUGCAGCAGUCGCGAAAACUUUGCAAUGCGCGCAAGCGUGACAAGGGGACCCCAAGUGCGUGCUCAAAGAGUACGCUUUUACGGAGUGUAAAAAGCUCCGGGAAUAAAGGGUGGGUAAGACUGGUGCCAGCCUCCGCGGUAACACCAGCACCUUUAGUGGUGAUCGCGUUUACUGGGUUUAAAGCGUGCGUAGUCGGUUUAGCAAGUUUUCUGUGAAAUCCUGCGGCUUAACCGUAGGGAUUGCAGAAAAUACUACUAGGCUCGAGGCCGGGUAAGGUAUGGGGUAUUUCAGGGGUAGCGGUGAAAUGCUAUAAUCCCUGGAAGACCACCAGUAGCGAAGGCGCCAUACUGGAACGGGCCUGACGAUGAGGUACGAAAGCUAGGGGAGCGAACAGGAUUAGAUACCCUGGUAGUCCUAGCCGUAAACGAUGUGGAUUUAGUGUUCCCUGAAUCUCGUGUUCAGGGAGUGCUGAAGGGAAACCGUUAAAUCCACCACCUGGGGAGUACGGUCGCAAGGCUGAAACUUAAAGGAAUUGGCGGGGGAACACCACAAGGGGUGGAUGCUGCGGUUCAAUUGGAUACAACGCCGGGAAACUUACCAGGCGCGACGGCACUAUGAAGGCCAGGCUAAAGGUCUUGCCGAAGGAGCCGAGAGGUAGUGCAUGGCCGUCGUCAGCUCGUACCGUGAGGCGUACGGUUAAGUCCGUUAACGAGCGAGACCCGUGCCUCUAUUUGCCAAUCAAAAGGAGACUUUUGGAGCACUAUAGAGGGACUGCAUGCGAUGAGUGUGAGGAAGGCGCGGGCGACGGUAGGUCCGUAUGCUCCGAAUCGCCUGGGCUACACGCGGCAUACAAUGGCAGGUACAAUGGGUUGCAACGCCGUAAGGCGGAGCUAAUCCCCUAAAGCCUGUCUUAGUACGGAUCGAGGGUUGAAACUCACCCUCGUGAAGCUGAAAUCCCUAGUAAUCGCUGGUUACCAUCUAGCGAUGAAUAUGUCCCUGUUCCUUGCACACACCGCCCGUCAAACCAAUCGAGUGGAUUUGAGAUGAGGCAUUCUCUAACUGGGAGUUUCGAAUCUCGGGUUCGCGAGAGGGGGUUAAGUCGUAACAAGGUA
rnacentral:rRNA from 1 species